rnacentral:rRNA from 1 species
UACGAAGGGGGCUAGCGUUGCUCGGAAUCACUGGGCGUAAAGCGCACGUAGGCGGCUUUGUAAGUUAGAGGUGAAAGCCCAGGGCUCAACCCUGGAAUUGCCUUUAAGACUGCAUCGCUUGAACAUCGGAGAGGUAAGUGGAAUUCCGAGUGUAGAGGUGAAAUUCGUAGAUAUUCGGAAGAACACCAGUGGCGAAGGCGACUUACUGGACGAUUGUUGACGCUGAGGUGCGAAAGCGUGGGGGAGCAAACAGG